GGACCAUGAUGGUGCCUCUGAGAGCCAACCAAACAGCGGAAGUCUCACCUGAGAAGCCAGCUUCUACUGUUAAUGUCAUCCCACCACCGCCUCUGAAAGGCCCCCAAUCCCUGAACUCGACACUUCUCAAAAAAACUCUAUGUAUCAAAUGAUGGUCUCAUCCUUUGACAUGGAGUCUGCUGUUUCAGGCCUCAGCAUUUCCCACAUUCAAACAUCACUUUGCUGCAUCCUUAAUUCGUACUACAUCCUUCAUGCCCAUACUAGGUAUGACACAACUUCGUUUCCCUUAUGGAUCACUUUCAUUUUGAAUGCUUUGAAAGCAAUAUUACUUCAUAAACAAAAUAAUUUAAGAAAACAAAAUAUGUAUUUAAAUAAUGUACCAAAUACAAAUAACUAUACAUAUUGAAUAAAAACAAUAGAUGCUUUUUAAA